rnacentral:tRNA from 1 species
GUCUGUGUAGAUUAAAAAGAUCCUAGUGCUGUUAACUCUACGGUGGUGGUGAAACGCCCACAGGCG